UUCCUACGGGACGCAGCAGUGGGGAAUAUUGGGCAAUGGGCGCAAGCCUGACCCAGCAACGCCGCGUGAAGGAAGAAGGCUUUCGGGUUGUAAACUUCUUUUAAGAGGGACGAAACAAAUGACGGUACCUCUUGAAUAAGCUCCGGCUAACUACGUGCCAGCAGCCGCGGUAAUACGUAGGGAGCGAGCGUUAUCCGGAUUUACUGGGUGUAAAGGGCGUGUAGGCGGGAUGGCAAGUCAUGCGUGAAAACUAUGGGCUCAACCCCUAGCCUGCGUUUGAAACUGUC
rnacentral:rRNA from 1 species